rnacentral:rRNA from 1 species
GACGAACGCUGGCGGCGUGCUUAACACAUGCAAGUCGAACGGAAAGGCCCUGCUUGCCGGGUGCUCGAGUGGCGAACGGGUGAGUAACACGUGGGUGAUCUGCCCCUUACUUUGGGAUAAGCCUGGGAAACUGGGUCUAAUACUGGGUAGGACCAUGCUGUAGGUGGUGUGGUGGAAAGAUUAGUUUCGGUAAGGGAUGAGCUCGCGGCCUAUCAGCUUGUUGGUGGGGUAAUGGCCUACCAAGGCGUCGACGGGUAGCCGGCCUGAGAGGGUGGACGGCCACAUUGGGACUGAGAUACGGCCCAGACUCCUACGGGAGGCAGCAGUGGGGAAUAUUGCACAAUGGGCGCAAGCCUGAUGCAGCGACGCCGCGUGGGGGAUGACGGCCUUCGGGUUGUAAACUCCUUUCAGCCAUGACGAAGCCCUUGUGGUGACGGUAGUGGUAGAAGAAGCACCGGCUAACUACGUG